rnacentral:rRNA from 1 species
AUUGAACGCUGGCGGCAGGCCUAACACAUGCAAGUCGAACGAGUGGCGGACGGGUGAGUAAUGUCUGGGAAACUGCCUGAUGGAGGGGGAUAACUACUGGAAACGGUAGCUAAUACCACAUACCAUCAGAUGUGCCAAGAUGGGAUUAGCUUGUUGGUGGGGUAACGGCUCACCAAGGCGCCGAUCCCUAGCUGGUCUGAGAGGAGGACCAGCCACACUGGAACUGAGACACGGUCCAGACUCCUACGGGAGGCAGCAGUGGGGAAUCUUGCACAAUGGGCGCAAGCCUGAUGCAGCCAGGCCGCGUGUAUGAUGAAGGCCUUCGGGUUGGAAAGUACUUGCAGCGGGGAGGCGUUACCCGCAGAAGAAGCCCCGGCUAACUCCGUGCCAGCAGCCGCGGUAAUAC